GACGAACGCUGGCGGCGUGCCUAAUACAUGCAAGUCGAACGCACUGACAGAGAAACUUGUUUCUCUUGACGUGAGUGGCGCACGGGUGAGUAACACGUGGGAAACCUACCCUUCAGCGGGGGAUAACCGUCGGAAACGAUGGCUAAUACCGCAUAGGUCUUUUAACCGCCUGGUUGAAAGAGGAAAGACGGCUUCGGCUGUCACUGAAGGAUGGUCCCGCGGUGCAUUAGCUAGUUGGUAAGGUAACGGCUUACCAAGGCGAUGAUGCAUAGCCGACCUGAGAGGGUGAUCGGCCACAUUGGGACUGAGACACGGCCCAA
rnacentral:rRNA from 1 species